rnacentral:lncRNA from 1 species
CAUCUGGAGCCUGCCUCCCUAACUCCCGAGUUCCCUUUUAACCUCAUUCUGUCCCUCUUCCUUCCACACCCCAGCCCCUCCUCUGUCACCGCCUGCCCAUUCCGCUUCUGGUCCAUUUCUCUCCAGCCCUGGUUGUCCCAGAGACAUCUUUGAGAACAGACGGCAACACACACUUGGGUGCACAUGCGCUCAAGUGCAGACACGCACACGCACACACACUCUCGCUCAGGCUGCCUUGCUGGCUAAUGUCAGGUUUGUCCCUCCCGAAGCCUGGAAGCCUGAAAGCUGGCCACUAGGUCUCCCCUCCCAACCCAGCUCCCAUCUCACGCCUCGUUCAUCUGCUGACAACAUUUCUCACUCCACCAUGUCUCUGCUUCUCUCCAUCUCUCCUGCCCUCUCUAUCUCUGUUUCCGCUGAGCUGGCAUCUGUACCAUCUCUUCCCCCCCCCCCCCCUCUGUGACUGUCUCUGCCCUCACCAGCUGCCUUGCUCUGGGGUGAGUUUGGGUUUUUUUGUUUUUUUUGUUUUUGUUUGUUUGUUUGUUUUUUGUGCCAUCCAGUGAGGGGGGAAUCUAGAUGGGUGAAUAGGGGGAGGGUGGGCAUAAGCAGGGACGGGAGGAGUGGGGUCUAGGCCUGGGGCUUCCCAGUGAAAGCAGUAGUCAAGGGUAGUACAAGAAGUGCCUAGGAUUUGAAUAGACCUUGGUAAAAGAGCCAAGCUAGAGGAGGGCUUGGAGAGUGGCAAAAGCCCCUUCAAUUCCUUCCUGGAGAGACUCCAUAUUUGGACUCACCUAGGGAACUGAUAUCUACCUCUUUCCUGGCCAGGGAGGAAUCUCCAGGCUCCUGGCCUGGUGCAGGGACCAUCCGACUAGAGCAGGAUGUGUUCUCAGCCCUGGCUGGGCAGGGCCAAAUCUAUGUGCACCUCACCGACGGCAUCUGGAGCCAGAUCAAGUCGGCAGGGUAUGUGGGGCUGGAGAAGAGCCUGUGCCACAGAUCUUGAGACUCUUAAGAGCGUGGCACUGGGGUGGUGGGCACAGGCCCUUGUGGACCCUGAGUGCCCCUCCCUGCUUUGGUCCCUAGCUCGGCCCUUUAUGCUUCCCGCCUGUAUCUGGGGCGAUACCAGAUCACCCACCCAGAACGGCUAGCCAGACACACUGCAGGGGGCCCACGAAUCAGAGGAAAUGUUUACAUCCAUCCAACUGCUAAAGUGGCCCCAUCAGCUGUGCUGGGCCCCAAUGUCUCCAUUGGGAAGGGGGUGACCAUAGGCGAGGGUGUGCGUCUGCGGGAGAGUAUUGUCCUCCAUGGAGC